UACGUAGGGCGCAAGCGUUGUCCGGAAUUAUUGGGCGUAAAGAGCUCGUAGGCGGUUUGUCGCGUCUGUCGUGAAAGCCCACGGCUUAACCGUGGGUCUGCGGUGGAUACGGGCAGACUAGAGGCAGGUAGGGGAGAAUGGAAUUCCCGGUGUAGCGGUGAAAUGCGCAGAUAUCGGGAGGAACACCGGUGGCGAAAGCGGCUCACUGGCCCGAUACUGACGCUCAUGUUCGAAAGCGUGGGGAGCAAACAGG
rnacentral:rRNA from 1 species